UGCCGGGCAGCGGCGCUCCAUCAGCCCCGCGGCCGCCGUGGCGGGCCCAGCUCGGGAGAGCGGCGCCCCGGGCACCUGUUGCUCGGGGGUUUUCGGCCGUGACAGGGCAGGAGAAAUGUUCCCGCAGCGGUUCGGUUCCGGCGGGGCGCCGCGGGGCUCCUGGCCUGAUGCCGCGCCCGACCUGGCCAUAGCGCCUCCGGGAAAAGUGAUCGGUUGGCUUGGCUUCUCCCGGCUGAGCACUUGCUGCUGGUGGUAAAGCUUCCAGAUCGUAGAAUACCCCGAGCUGGAAGGGACCUACAAGGAUCAUCGAGUCCAGCUCCCAGCCCUGCACAGGACACCCCAGCAAUCCCACCCCUGAGAGUGUUGUCCAAAUGCUCCUGGAGCUCUGGCAGCUUUGGGGACAUGGCCAAACCCUGGGGAGUCUCUUCAGUGCCCCAGCACCCUCUGGGGGAAGAAUCUUUCCCCGAUAUCCACCCUAAGCCUCCCCUGGCCCAGCUCCAGCUGUUCCCUGGGUGCUGUCCCUGUCUCAGGGAGCAGAGAUUGGAGCUGGCCCUCGGCAGGAGCUGCAGCCCCUGGAAGGAAACUAGUCCAGAGCAUCUGCCACCAGAAGCCUGGCUGUCAGCAUCCUUGCAGUCAGGGAGGCGCAGCAGAGCUGAGCACUGCCAGCUUGUGCCCAGCCACAAACACAGCCCUCGCUCUCCAUUGAGAAGAAGGAGCGAGGAAAAGCAUAAGGCAAGCACCUGCCUCAGCUGCCAGCCUGCUCCUACAAACCUCACAGCUUGCACAGAGCAGCCGAGCUGAGUUGAUGCCAGGAAAGUGAAGAUCUUGUAAGACGAUGUUUAAACUUGUGUAUUCCCAGCUUUUGUAAUUACAGGUUCCCAGAUCAGGAUGAUGCAUGGAAAAAGCAUGCAGAUAAAGCAUCAUUUGCCCAAACAUGUCAUCAGACACUGACUUCCUAAAGAUGCCUGUGUUCUAGGAGAACCUACAAACAGUUCUUGAGGCUCCAGGGUGGACUGAGGAGGGAGUAAAAUGCGUGAAAGUAAACAAGUGUGCCUCUGCUGUACCAGGACAUGAUAGGCACUUAAGCCUUUGGGCAUAUGAGGUGAGUUUUUCCCCUUCCCCAUUCCACUGGAAAAUCAACAAAAGCAAGCCUUCAAUAGCAUGAAUUUCAUUAUGACCCGCCCUAGCAGGCACCUAAAUCCUGCAAUGAUAAUUUAUCUUUGAACUGGUUAGUAGUGGUGCAUAAUUAACAAGUAAGCUGCAGGAACAUGCAGUUGCUCUCUAUUUACCUGGUAUUUGCCGUGCAGUUGUGGUGUAAUUAUGGAGAUUAUGCCUGCUCUCUAGAGUAGGAGUACCUGGUGUACCUCAUUUUGUGCUAUUUCACUCCAGCAAAGCAGACCCCAGCGCAACGAAGCUGAAAGAAAAUUCCAUUCUGCAGCGGGUGGAAGGGAGCCGCAGGCAGGGAGCAGGCGGGAGCUGCACAGAGAGCCGCGGUCCGGAGCAGCGCCGCAUCGGGGCUGCCUGGGGUCACAGCCUGCCUGCUGCAGCUCACGGGGCUUGCAUUUGGGACUGCCACCCUUGCAGUGAGAAAUAGACAUGUGAUGCAAGUGUAUAUAUAGAAUGAAUAGACUUGGGACAAAUGUUUGAAAACUUCUUGCAACCAGUUGCUCACAAAUGAUCUACAGCAAGAGCUACUUCCAGAAUGGUUACUGCACACAUGUUUGGAAAAAAGAUAUUCAAGCAAAUCAAUCUGCUUGUGGACAAAUAAUGAAAAGAGAAAAAGGAAAAAUUCCUCUAACAAAUAUGAAACUGCAAAUUAUUCAGUCAGCUGAGUUGGCAACAACCAAUUUUUGUGAGAGAAAGAUACCAGGACUGAGACUCUUUCAUGUCAUCGAAGUCAACUAUGGCAAAAAGGUGCAUUUCUGCAAGAAUAUUAUAGGCAACCUCCUCAGCAACAGAAGGAUGUGCUGCAGAAGGUGAUGUUCAGGAGCCGUUUCCACGAGGAUUCAGGAUGAGGAUAUCUGCAUCCAGCUGAGCUGUGCCAAAACUACCUUGACUUCCUGCCUCUUAUACCUUUCUUUCCAUGCUGCAAAUCCAUGUUAGCUUCAAGACUGCUUGAAAUGUCUGUGGCUGGCAAUGCCAGCCCAUGGCUGGUGAACAUCCUCCUGCUUUAGGAGCCCUUUCGGUAGCACCUGCCUCCUUGGGACAGGAGCUGGGGCAUACAGUAGUUCAUCACCUCAUUGUCAGAGCACAGCUGAUAUGUUGGUGGACUAACUUCAACAAUUUCACUGCAGGAGAGCUUUAAUUCUAACUCUUGUAAGAAUAUAGACAAUUUUCUCAGUCUGCUUCAGUCUACGAAUUGCAGAUACAUGUGUAGGUUGUUUGAUCCUGGAUACGAAACCCACCACUGCCUGUGGGUAUUCUCAGCUCAGUCAGACAGAAAGAGAAAGGUUUUCUAACAAGGUGAGAGCCUGAGAAGUAGUUAGAAAACCUUUCUCUUUCUCUCUGACUGAGCUGAGAAUACCCACAACUGCCCUCUGUCUUUACCUUCCCUAUUCCCUACAAUUUGGGAACAUUUGCCUAGAAAGGAUAAGAAAACAUUCAGCUGCUGCAGAUCCUCCUAAACCCACCAGCUUUUUUGUUUGUUUGUUUAAUUUGCUAUAUAUGAUUAACUCCACUGAGUUUCUGCCAGGCAGAAUUUGCAACUCAAAGUACCCCAUGAGUGUGCUGCAGCACUGCCAGGAAUUGAAUACCACCAUUCUUCAUAAUCGCUGUUUUUCCAAAUAUCAGGUAUAGCAGACAGGCUAUUUUAGGCUAUAAAUGGAAAUCAGGAAAUGAGAUUUUUUUUCCCCUGCUAGUUCCUCUCCUGGGAAUUUUAGUCCUUUUCUCUGUGCACAUGCUUUGGUUGUUGGUAUAGUGGUAAUGUGAGUCUCUCAGACUAUCUGUCACUGGAGCCUCUUCUGUGCCAGUGAACAUGGGAAAUCAUUCCCACUAGUACCAAUGUGCUGUUUGUUGAUAUAAUAUCACAUAUAAGACCAAAACCAGAUCAGGAUAGCCUGAUUUACCCCAUGAUUCUGGGGACAGGUGGUUCAAAAGUAAGGUUUACAAAGUAAGUAAAGGUAUUUCCCAGCUACCUGCACUUCCUUUUCUAAUAGUGGUAGUCCAUUUGCAACUCUCAGUUUUGCAGAUUUCCUGUUACCUCCUGUGGGUGAUCAAAGUCCAGUCAUGAAUGCAGGCACUCUGGACUUGCAGUCUUGUCAAUAUCAGGGAUGUCUGGCCUUGCCUUCAGUUUAUAGCACAGACAUUGCCAUCUAAAUCAUCUGUAUCAUAUGGAUCUAAUGCAAAAUCUUUGCAUGGCUUUUAAAUCUGAGAAGUUCUAAUUAUUGUUCUUCUAUCAUCAAUUCUUCUAUCAUCAGUUCUAUCAUUCUUCAUGAAUUAUGCAAUUUCCUUUUUUCUGGAAAAAGCUUUGCAUUAUUAGGAGUUAAAAAGAUUAGGUUUUGCUACAGCAACAUGCAGAUCUCAGAACUUGAGAACAAACCCUUAGCAUCAUAUGCACUUUUCUGUUGCCCCUAAUGGUAAUGAAAAGCAUUUUCUGGGCUAGAAAAUACCUCAUUAGUUCAUGACAGGGUGAUUCUAGGCCUGUAUGCCCUUGUUUGAUUACAUGCUAAUCACAGGUGUCCUUUGAUAGGGUCAAAAAGUAAUUAUCCUUUGAUAUUUUAGUCAAUUGUAGUACUACUGAGAAGUACUCUUUUCCUGCCUAUAGAAAUAAAGAACCCAUUUAACCUUGGAAAAACAUGAUUCUUGCUAUUUUCUUCACUGAAGGAAAAGGAGUGGGCUUUUUUGGGUACAAACCUAUUCAGUGAGAGUUAUCUUUGUGUUCUGGGGUGACUUUCUGUUGCUUGUAUCCCCAUUCGUCUAUUCAACCCAGAAAUAAGUUUUGCACCUUUAGGACUGGUUCCAAGAGUGAAGGGGG